UAGGGAAUCUUCCACAAUGGGCGCAAGCCUGAUGGAGCAACACCGCGUGAGUGAAGAAGGGUUUCGGCUCGUAAAGCACUGUUGUAAGAGAAGAAUGACAUUGAGAGUAACUGUUCAAUGUGUGACGGUAUCUUACCAGAAAGGAACGGCUAAAUACGUGUCAG
rnacentral:rRNA from 1 species